rnacentral:rRNA from 1 species
AUACGGAGGGUGCAAGCGUUAAUCGGAAUUACUGGGCGUAAAGGGCGCGUAGGCGGCUGGGUCAGUCGGAUGUGAAAGCCCCGGGCUUAACCUGGGAACUGCAUUCAAAACUGGCAGGCUAGAGUACAGUUGAGGUGGGCGGAAUGUGUCAUGUAGCGGUGAAAUGCAUAGAUAUGACACAGAACACCGAUUGCGAAGGCAGCUCGCUAAACUGUUACUGACGCUGAGGCACGAAAGCGUGGGGAGCGAACAGGAUUAGAAACCCCUGUAGUCC